UACGGAGGGUGCGAGCGUUGUCCGGAAUCACUGGGCGUAAAGGGCGCGUAGGCGGCGCGGAUAGUCGGCGGUGAAAGCCCGGAGCUCAACUCCGGGUCGGCCGUCGAUACUUCCGGGCUUGAGCACUGUAGAGGCAGAUGGAAUUCCGGGUGUAGCGGUGGAAUGCGUAGAGAUCCGGAAGAACACCGGUGGCGAAGGCGGUCUGCUGGGCAGUUGCUGACGCUGAUGCGCGACAGCGUGGGGAGCAACAGG
rnacentral:rRNA from 1 species